GUGAAAGAGAGAUGCUCAUUCUGGUCUGGGGGGCGGGGCCUGUGUGUUUGUAGAGUAAGAAACAGGAAGUCAACCACACAUCAUCUACAGCUUCCUCAUGAUCUGCACCAAAACCUCGAAUCAAACGCAGCCUGAAGACCUGGGGGGGGGGGGACCCAGACCUCAGGGGGUCAACACGUGGUCUGAGGACCUGUGAGGGGACGCCUGAAGUAAAGUGCUCUGUCUGUGCCCUCCCGCCUGCUGUCUGCAUGUCAGCUCCCACACGACACAAUCUGCCGAUAUCUGUUUUUCUUAUGUCUGUUUGUUUUAAUCUGUGUCUAUGUUGUUGUCAGUGACGUAUUGUCUUAUCUUUUUAAAUGCCUUUGUGAUGUGCUGCAACCCAUUUUCCACUCGGGGACAAAUAAACGAAACUACUACUACUACAAAUCCAACGCGCGUCAGUUCCUGAUGUGUUCCAUAAAAUGACUUUAUCUUUUUCUAAUUAUAAUUUAUUCUAUGAUUACAUUUUGUAUUAACCUGGCAUAAAUGUUUUAUCCUUUAAUCCUGUA